rnacentral:rRNA from 1 species
CCCUUAGAUGUUCUGGGCCGCACGCGCGCUACACUGAUGCAUUCAACGAGUCUAAAACCUGGUCUGAUAGGGCUGGGUAAUCUUUUGAAAGUGCAUCGUGAUUGGGAUAGAUGAUUGCAAUUCUUCAUCUUCAACGAGGAAUGCCUAGUAAACGCAAGUCAUCAGCUUGCAUUGAUUACGUCCCUGCCCUUUGUACACACCGCCCGUCGCUCCUACCGAUUGAAUGAUCCGAUGAAUACCAUGGAUUGAGAGUACGAAUUGGUUCGCUCAUUUCUGCUGCUCGAGAAGUGGAGUAAAUCUUAUCAUUUAGAGGAAGGAGAAGUCGUAACA